rnacentral:sRNA from 1 species
ACUCUGUCUCAAAAAAAAAAAAAAAAAAAAAUGGUGGCCAUCUUGGUAGCAUCUAAGUGACCUUGGGGGAAGUGGCCAUCUUGGUAGCAUCUAAAUGACCUUGGGGAAAUGGCUUGGGCUCAGUUUUCUCACCUGUAAAUGUCAACACAGAGUCUUUACAAAGACUGUAUAAGAAGAAUUGUGGCAUGACUCUCUGGUAGCUUUGUCUAAGCAGCAACACACAGGGGCAGUAUGAAACCAAGCCCCACCUAUACUCAGGGAAUGUUCUCAGUCUCUUCUGUAAAAACCGUCACUGUUCUCUGAAGAAAGGUACCUCCAUAACUAAAAGCGGAGCGCCACGUAUCGCGCCUAGUCUGUCCGUAAGUGCUUGAGGGAUGCCAGCCUUGACUGUGAUGUUUUCCUCAUUCCCAGGGAUGCGCUCCUCUAACCAGUCAUGCCUUCCUUCCAACCAGUUGCCACUAGCUCCUCCCCCAUACUAGGUUCAGAGGAAUCAGGAGCUGAAACUGACAAGUUCCACCCUCUAAGACGCUCUUGUCACCCAUCCUGGAAGCAGGGCAUACCCGGUGCCAUACCAUGUGCACUUCAGAAUCAGAGCAGGGGCAGCCUCUGCAGAGGCUGGAAGAUCUUGGUGGUGGAGAACUUGCCGAGGGGGUAUCUGGCCCUGACCACUGUUAUCUGUGUGUCAUUAUCUCCUCCCACAAAGCCUUCUCCACCCAUAACCCCCAACCGAGAUGACAGACCAGCAACUGUCUCCAACCGCUCUGAUUCGGGACAAGGCUCGACCCUGUCCCCACUGCCACAGACUCCAUGGCCACCCCGCCCUCUGCCACAUUUAUUGAGAACAGGUUGGCUGUCUCUCUGGGAAUGAAGAAGCUAUCAAGGAAGGAGACACCCCAAUAUCUAGGAGACCAGGGGCCGGGAUGGCCGGGCUCUCUGACAGAAGUUGUCUGUUCUCUUUUCAGCCUUCCUGCUGCUGCUUCUACAGUGUCUCCUUUCUCAGGCUGCUCUCCCCCAACCUGGAGCCCUGAAGCUGCACACCUGGCUCCCACAUCAGAUAACCCAACCACAGUAGUUCCCCUCACCCGACCUGCUCCCACCCUCUCCUCACCCCUCACCCUCUUCCUCCCCUGCUCUUCUACCCUCUAGCUUCUGUUGAGCCUAGAUAGCCCUAGAGAGGGUCAAGGAGAUUCAAAGCCCUCUGGUGGAAAAGGUGGUGUGAGAGUCAACCCCGAUCAGUGUGUGCACGUGGUACAGGCGGAUGGAAACGUACACUGUGUCACUUGGAAACAGUGAUGGGGAAGGGACCCCAGCCCAGGCCUUAAGGACCUAGAGCAACCUAGGACCCAGCAGGGAGUCUGGGAGAGUACUGGGCCAAUCCCCCUUGCUGUGGGCUUUCUGCAAUCAAGAGAGUGAAGCUCGCAUCCUUGGUGCUAGGAUAGGAGGACUGAGCUGAAGAGGCAGACAUUCUGAAUGAAGGAACCCAUAAUCUCUUGUAGCCAAAUGCAGGCUUUGAAAGGGUCUCUCCAUGUAGCCAAAGCCGGCCUUGAACUUGGAACUGUUCUGACUACGGCUCCUGAGGGCUGACGUCACAGAUGUGCACCAACCAUGUCCAGCUC